rnacentral:tRNA from 1 species
GCAGAUGUGGUGCUAGUGGUAACACAACUCCUUGCCAAGGAGUGGUCGAGAGUUCGAUUCUCUUCAUCUGCU